rnacentral:tRNA from 1 species
UCCCCUGUAGCUCAGCUGGUAGAGCAAGCGACUGUUAAUCGCUGGGUCGUAGGUUCAAGUCCUACCGGGGGAG